CGAAUCCAGUGGACAUGAACACCGACCCACAACCCGCGAGAAGCCGCAAGAAAUUUAGCGCUACUCCGCCGCCGCCGCAGUCCUCCGAUCCAUCAGCAUCUCUCCUCACACGGUGAACAAAUGGGAUAGGGGAGAAGCGCCGCGCCGCCUCCAUAUCUCCCUUCGUCUGCAUCUCCUCACGAGCUAGGAAGGGGUGCCGUCAUCGUCACCCUUCGUCUGCAUCUCCUCACGAACUAGCGGUGAAGUGGGGAACGGAGGCCGCCGGCCCCUCCAGUCCUGGAUAAGGCAUUGGUGCUGCAAGAAGCCAUGGUGUGGGGAGGUCUGUUCUUGAGCUUGGGUCGGCCCACACAGGAGCAGCAGAAGUCCUGCCUUGCGGCGGCCGGUGGCUUCAACUACGAUGCAGAUCUCCGUGGCGCCACACGCCUGAAAUCAGCAUCAGCCUCGACCUCUGAAUCUGCUGCUGGUGCUGCUGAAACAAGUGACAAGGCUCUUAUGGAGCACGGCUUCUUUGUGAACCGAUCGCGUGUUCUGAUCGGGUCAGGUGCCGACACCUUCGUCCAGGCCAAAUCCGCGCUCCUGUCUUGGAGGCACUUGUCAUUGGGGUGGGCGAAUGUGGACCCGGAGACGCCGGUGAAGGUGGGAACCAGGUUCUGCAUCUGCUACAAGGAGGUGAUCCCCUGGGUGAUGCUGCCGCUGCAGAUUGCCUAUGUGAUUGACGGCUCCAAGUCAAAGGGGGGCAGCAGCAUGUUUGCUUUCGGUAGCGGCACGCUGCAAGGCCAUCUGCUGGCUGGGGAGGAGCGUUUCUCAGUGGAGGUGGACGAGGAGGAUCGGGUGUGGUACGAGGUGGUGUCCCUGUCGAAGCCAGCCCACAUUCUCGCCACACUCUGCUACCCCUACGUCCAGCUCAGGCAGAAGCAUUUCGCGCGCCAAUCGGGCCAGGCCAUCCGCAAGCAUCUAUCCGCCGCCAAGUAGCUACCUACUCUAGCUAGCUGGCUGCUCAUUUCUUUGUUGAUGACAUGACAUGAGUAAGCAGUAACAAAGGUUUAGUGCUGAUGGAUGGGAUCGUCUGCCUCUCUUUAUCCACCCAACCCAAGAAUGUACAGAUAUAUACUGGUGGACGAGGAGGUUGGCACGUCGUGUGCAGGAUUGCGCCUCUCUAUAGAGGGUCCAUCUAUAGUUUGAUAUAUAGUCCAACCGUUCAUUUGCAGAAAGAUUGUGGGAAAUUCAAGUUUGGGGUUCUUUUCUAUACUGAAGACGACUAUGCAUUUUAGUCAUGCCUGCGUGUAUGUACCCAGAUAGGCUGACACCCUACCUUAGACUUUCCAUGCAACCUGAGCAAUCAACCAACUGACGUGGAGCCGUAUUUUGCACCACAUAAUAUAGCCAAUGAUGACCAACUGUUAUUACCAGAUUUAGUGUGAAGUUUUUUUUACUGAUCGUGUUAGAGCAACUUUGUAUUGAUUUAGCUCUUGGUACAGAAGUAAAUUGGUAAGAGAAGUUCUGUUUCUCUUA